AUACUUGCCUGGCAGGGAGACACCAUGAUCAUGAAGGUGGUUUUCCCAGGGCGAGGCUUAUCCAUUGCAGCCCGGAUGUCCUGACCCCUGCGAUUUCCCCAAAUGUGGGAAACUGGACUGCAUAAUUUGCGGUAGCAGGGGACUGUGUUCAUGCUCUCCCCUG